GGGUGAGUAACGCGUAGGAAUCUACCCAGUAGCGGGGGAUAGCUUGGGGAAACUCAAAUUAAUACCGCAUACGCCCUACGGGGGAAAGCAGGGGAUCUUCGGACCUUGCACUAUUGGAUGAGCCUGCGUUGGAUUAGCUAGUUGGUGAGGUAAAGGCUCACCAAGGCGACGAUCCAUGGCUGGUCUGAGAGGGCGACCGGCCACACUGGGACUGAGACACGGCCCAGACUCC
rnacentral:rRNA from 1 species